GUCAUCGCAGUGAACUACAGUGAGGGGAGCGACGAGCGCAGCACUCGGACUCCUCUGCCUCAGCAGCGACAGAGCCACCGUCGGUGCAACGCGAGAUCAGGCCCCCCACUUAGUGUAUUUGACAAGCUGAGUUUGACACUCUGUUUCAGUGAGUGUCAGUUUGUCAAAUACCCCAAGUGAGGUGUCACUUGUCUACAAGUCGAGGUCAUCCUGGGUUACUGCACGGAGCGAGCGACAACUCCAGGGGAUGAUCAACACAACCGAGGAACCUGAACACACACAGAGGCUAGAGAUGUUUUACAGACAAGCAGACAAAGAGCGCAGGGUGGUAACAGUAAAAGCUUGAUUACUGUAUCAUCUAUUAAUCUAAAAUAAUCGAACAAUUCCAAAACCUUUCGUAUAUUAAACAAAAACAUUUAUUUGGCAUAUAUUAUUAUGGUCAUAUAGACUAUUUUAUUCCUUAAGACUCUAAAUAUCUGUACUCCAUUAAUCAAUAAAGUCCUCACAGAGAUGCUUAUGUCAAUAUGUUUAUUUACAAUAAAGUCUGAACCCAAUGUAAAAUAUUAUUUCUCAGCCAAACCUUCCAUUUAUUGUUAUUUCCAGGUUUGCAUCAUAUGUGUAAUGCCCUCAGAAGAAUGAUGCAUCAUAGAUGUGAGCUUUGAGUGUCAUACACAAUAAAUACAGUAAAAUAAAA